rnacentral:tRNA from 1 species
GCGGCGGUAGUUUAGCUGAUUAGAACAUCGGGCUCAUAUCCCGAAAGUCAAGGGUUCUAAUCCCUUCCCCGCG